rnacentral:tRNA from 1 species
GAUGUAGCUCAGUAGCACAGCGUCUGCCUGGCAAGCACAAGGCCCUGAGUUUGAGUCCCGGUAUC